GUGGGGAAUAUUGGACAAUGGGCGAAAGCCUGAUCCAGCCAUGCCGCGUGUGUGAAGAAGGUCUUCGGAUUGUAAAGCACUUUAAGUUGGGAGGAAGGGCAGUAAGUUAAUACCUUGCUGUUUUGACGUUACCGACAGAAUAAGCACCGGCUAACUUCGUGCCAGCAGCCGCGGUAAUACGAAGGGUGCAAGCGUUAAUCGGAAUUACUGGGCGUAAAGCGCGCGUAGGUGGUUCAGCAAGUUGAAGGUGAAAUCCCCGGGCUCAACCUGGGGACUGCCUCCAAAACUGCAUGACUAGAGUACGGUAGAGGGUAGUGGAAUUUCCUGUGUAGCGGUGAAAUGCGUAGAUAUAGGAAGGAACACCAGUGGCGAAGGCGACUACCUGGACUGAUACUGACACUGAGGUGCGAAAGCGUGGGGAGCAAACAGGAUUAGAAACCCGGGUAGUCC
rnacentral:rRNA from 1 species